CUCUCCAACGGAGAUCGCCUCGCCCUAGUGCGCCAUGUCCUGAGUGCCAUGCCUAUCCAUCUUCUGCUGGCUAUGGCCCUCUCGCCACCCAUCGUGAAACUCGUGAAUAGACUAAUCCGAGACAUCCUCUGGCACGGCCAGAAAGAGGCCCGGUCCGGAAACUGCCUCAUGAACUGGCAAAGUGUAUGCCUCCCCCUCGACCAGGGAGGACUCGGCAUGCGUGACAUCCAGCGUACCAGCAUCUCCCUCCGUGCAAGAUGGCUCUGA
rnacentral:rRNA from 1 species